UACGUAGGGUGCGAGCGUUAAUCGGAAUUACUGGGCGUAAAGCGUGCGCAGGCGGUGCUGUAAGACAGGCGUGAAAUCCCCGGGCUUAACCUGGGAAUGGCGCUUGUGACUGCAGUGCUGGAGUGCGGCAGAGGGGGAUGGAAUUCCGCGUGUAGCAGUGAAAUGCGUAGAUAUGCGGAGGAACACCGAUGGCGAAGGCA
rnacentral:rRNA from 1 species